UACGAAGGGGGCGAGCGUUGUUCGGAUUUACUGGGCGUAAAGGGCGCGCAGGCGGCGAUUUUUGUCAGGCGUGAAAGCCCCGGGCUCAACCUGGGAACUGCGUUUGAUACGGGAUUGCUAGAGAUCGGGAGAGGAGAGUGGAAUUCCAGUGUAGAGGUGAAAUUCGUAGAUAUUGGGAAGAACACCAGUGGCGAAGGCGGCUCUCUGGACCGAUACGUGACGCUGAAGGCGCGAAAGCGUGGGGAGCAAACAGG
rnacentral:rRNA from 1 species